rnacentral:rRNA from 1 species
CCCUUAGACGUUCUGGGCCGCACGCGCGCUACACUGACCAGUGCAACAAGCAUCCGUCCUUGGCCGACAGGCCCGGGCAAUCUUUGAACGCUGGUCGUGAUGGGGAUAGACUUUUGCAAUUUUUGGUCUUCAACGAGGAAUUCCUAGUAAACGCAAGUCAUCGACUUGCAUUGAUUACGUCCCUGCCCUUUGUACACACCGCCCGUCGCACCUACCGAUUGAAUGGUCCGGUGAAGCCUCCGGAUUGGCGCGCACCUCGGUGCCGCCGAGAAGUUGGCUAAACCUUACCAUUUAGAGGAAGGUGAAGUCGUANCA